CCGCGGUAAUUCCAGCUCCAAUAGCGUAUAUUAAAGUUGUUGCAGUUAAAAAGCUCGUAGUUGAAUUUCUGAGCUCGCCGAGCGGCGGUCUUUGGCCGACCACUCCGCAAGUUCAUCCUCGCCCCUCGGGGCGUCAUUUACUGUGAAAAAAUUAGAGUGUUUAAAGCAGGCUUUAGGCUUGAAUACAUUAGCAUGGAAUAAUGAGAUAGGACCAAGUCGUAUUUUGUUGGUUGCGCGAUUCGGUAAUGAUUAAUAGGGACAGUUGGGGGUAUACAUAUUUAAUUGUCAGAGGUGAAAUUCUUAGAUUUAUUAAAGAUGAACUACUGCGAAAGCAUUUACCAAGGAUGUUUUCAUUAAUCAAGAACGAAAGUCAGGGGAUCGAAGAGGAUUAGAUACCCUCGUAGUCUUGACCAUAAACUAUGCCGACUCAGGAUUGGCACCCUUUUUUAACAGGGUGUCAGCACUGUAUGAAAAAUCAAAGUCUUUGGGUUCCGGGGGGAGUAUGGUCGCAAGGCUGAAWCUUAGAGGAAUUGACGGAAGGGCACCACCAGGAGUGGAGCCUGCGGCUUAAUUUGACUCAACACGGGGAAACUUACCAGGUCCAGACAUGGUGAGGAUUGACAGAUUGAAAGGUCUUUCUUGAUUCUAUGGGC
rnacentral:rRNA from 1 species